rnacentral:lncRNA from 13 species
GUCCCUCUACAUCUGUGGAAUUCUCUGGGAUGACAGUUCAGGGGACAUCUCACCAGGGACAAUCUAAUGAGUGUGUCUCCAGGGCCUGUCAGACCAGGGCUCUUGACCUCCCGCCAAUCAAUCCGGAUGCUUUCAACCCGGUUAUCAUCCGGUUUCUGGAAAAACUUACUGAGGAGUGAUGAGGGCAUUGCUUGCAGAGAUGUGCCUGGAGAUUGUGCGGUUUGUAUCUGAGGCCAUCCUGGAGGUCAUCAUCCCUGCAAUUUUCCGUUUUGUACGGAUAUACAGCCAUGUGUCUCCAGUAUCCGGCAAGUCUCUGACAGAAUCAGAGAGAUCCUCUAGCACAAACCUGAAGGUUCGCAAGAGAGGCAGCAGCAAAUCCUCAAGGUCUUGCACGGCCAAAUCAAGCUCCUCUCGUAAUGGGUAUGUUCAGUCAUUCGGUUUCAUAACUAUUCAUAACCCAUUUUGUGAAAAUAUGUUUUGUUAUCUGUGUUACAGUUUACUCUUAAUGACCAAUUUAAUUGAUUACUGAAUUAUGCAUUAAUGUGACUACAGUAUCCACUAUUGAAUAUGGAAUGCUGUAUUGUUUGCUUUGUAUUCUCAAAGGUCUCAGACAUUGUUGCCAAAUACUCAGGGAGAUGGUGAGUCUAUUUCAUCUGAGCCACUCAGUGACUUUUUUGGGAUCACUGAGGACAGUCUCCUCACUGGUGUCCAGGAUUCCUUCAAAGAGUCGCUGAACAAUGUCCUCUGUAUCCAAAGAGAGGGCCAGGUAGACACUCAAAGUCUAUCCCGGGUUAUUGUUGGAGAAGUGUCAAAGAAAGUAAAUUCCAUCAUCUCUGUGGCCAUCCAAACUCCCAUCUCUGGGCGAAUGUCCCCUGUCAUUUUUGCCAGUGGUGGUGUCUCCAGCACCAAGGUGGUUGAGGAGAUGGUGUCUGGCAUUUCCAACAUACUUCAGAUGUACAUUAAUGGGAAGAGUGUUGAGCAGAGUGUUGUUCUCAGAGAGGAUGGUGUUGAGGUGGAUAUGACACAUUUAACAGGACAGGUCAUGACAGCCCUCAGUGGCACUGUUUUGAACUUCAGCAAUAAGGAGGAAAAUGAACCCGACAAGAGGGAACUGCUUUGUGUUGUUGCUGACCAUAUGAAGAGGCUUGAAGCUUGUAAAAGUCCUGAGGAGAUGCUAAAACAAGGAGAGAGCAACCUNNNNNNNNNNAUCCUCACUGUGUAUCACUCCGAGGAAUCCAUGGAGGAAUGCAUCUCUAGCCUAAAAGGAGAUACAGAAGACCUGUCCAAGCUUUUGGAUGCCGUUGUUUCUCAGAUUGACGUCCUUGCCGCCUCCAAAUCAUAUUUAUUUGUUUAUGACUAUGCUGUCAAUACACAGGACAAUUUGCAUGGUGAGAUCAACAAUAUUGAGGAGGAGGCAUCCUCUAGAAGUCUUAAAUCCACAGCCUUUGACAAACUAUGUACUGAGGAGUUUCAAACUAAAGCCUCACAUAUGGCUGGUGGGAUCCUUCAAUCAGGGUUAAUUGGCAUUGUAAAUACCAACCUUGAUGGUAGAAGUGCAGAGUCCAGUAAUGAAAGUGAUGUCAAAAUCCUUCAGAAGAGUGGAACUCCAUCUUUGUUCACCUCUUCUCUGC